CCGGUUGAUCCUGCCAGAGGUUACUGCUAUCGGUGUUCGCCUAAGCCAUGCGAGUCAUAUGUUCUUCGUGAACAUGGCGUACUGCUCAGUAACACGUGGAUAACCUGCCCUUGGGACCGGCAUAACCCCGGGAAACUGGGGAUAAUUCCGGAUACCGCAUAUAUGCUGGAAUGCUUUAUGCGUAAAAUGGAUUCGUCUGCCCAAGGAUGGGUCUGCGGCCUAUCAGGUAGUAGUGGGUGUAAUGUACCUACUAGCCAACGACGGGUACGGGUUGUGAGAGCAAGAGCCCGGAGAUGGAUUCUGAGACAUGAAUCCAGGCCCUACGGGGCGCAGCAGGCGCGAAAACUUUACAAUGCGGGAAACCGUGAUAAGGGGACACCGAGUGCCAGCAUCAUAUGCUGGCUGUCCGGGUGUUUAAACUACACCUGUUAGCAAGGGCCGGGCAAGACCGGUGCCAGCCGCCGCGGUAACACCGGCGGCUCGAGUGGUAACCGUUAUUAUUGGGUCUAAAGGGUCUGUAGCCGGCCGGAUAAGUCUCUUGGGAAAUCUGGCAGCUUAACUGUCAGGCUUUCAGGAGAUACUGUCUGGCUCGAGGCCGGGAGAGGUGAGAGGUACUUCAGGGGUAGGGGUGAAAUCUUGUAAUCCUUGAAGGACCACCAGUGGCGAAGGCGUCUCACCAGAACGGACCUGACGGCAAGGGACGAAAGCUAGGGGCACGAACCGGAUUAGAUACCCGGGUAGUCCUAGCCGUAAACGAUACUCGCUAGGUGUCGGCCACGGUGCGACCGUUGUCGGUGCCGUAGGGAAGCCGUGAAGCGAGCCACCUGGGAAGUACGGCCGCAAGGCUGAAACUUAAAGGAAUUGGCGGG
rnacentral:rRNA from 1 species